rnacentral:rRNA from 1 species
AUGGCUCAGGAUGAACGCUGGCGGCGUGCCUAACACAUGCAAGUCGAACGGGACUAUCAAGUGAUGUUUCGGACUGAACUUUUAGUUAGUGGCGGACGGGUGAGUAACGCGUGGACAACCUGCCUCUCACUGGGGGAUAGCAGCUGGAAACGGCUGGUAAUACCGCAUGCGUUCAAUGUGCCGCAUGGCACAUUGAAGAAAGAUUUAUCGGUGAGAGAUGGGUCCGCGUCUGAUUAGCCAGUUGGCGGGGUAACGGCCCACCAAAGCGACGAUCAGUAGCCGGCCUGAGAGGGCGGACGGCCACAUUGGGACUGAGACACGGCCCAGACUCCUACGGGAGGCAGCAGUGGGGGAUAUUGCACAAUGGGCGCAAGCCUGAUGCAGCGAACCGCCGCGUGAGUGAAGAAGUAUUUCGGUAUGUAAAGCUCUAUCAGCAGGGAAGAAAGGCCCGCAAGGGAGAUGACGGUACCUGACUAAGAAGCCCCGGCUAACUACGUGCCAGCCGCGGC